ensembl:miRNA
UAUGCUCUUACCAUUAGAAGGGCUGGAAGAAGACUGAGGGAGAAGCCUUCUUCCAGCGCUUCUAAUGGUAAGAGCAU